UACGUAGGGGGCGAGCGUUGUCCGAAUUUACUGGGCGUAAAGCGCACGUAGGCGGAUAUGUCAGUCAGGGGUGAAAUCCCGGGGCUCAACCUCGGAACUGCCUUUGAUACAGCAUGUCUUGAGUCCGAUAGAGGUGGGUGGAAUUCCUAGUGUAGAGGUGAAAUUCGUAGAUAUUAGGAAGAACACCGGUGGCGAAGGCGGCCCACUGGAUCGGUACUGACGCUGAGGUGCGAAAGCGUGGGGAGCAAACAGG
rnacentral:rRNA from 1 species